CACGUAGGUAAUCUACCUCCAGGUGGUGGAUAACCUUCCGAAAGGAAGGCUAAUACAGCAUGGGACCACGACCUCGCAAGGGGUUGAGGUGAAAGUCGGCCUCUUCAUGAAAGCCGACGCCAGGGGAUGAGCCUGCGGCCCAUCAGCUAGUUGGUAGGGUAAUGGCCUACCAAGGCGAAGACGGGUAGCUGGUCUGAGAGGAUGAUCAGCCACACUGGAACUGAGACACGGUCCAGACUCCUACGGGAGGCAGCAGUGGGGAAUCUUGCGCAAUGGGCGAAAGCCUGACGCAGCGACGCC
rnacentral:rRNA from 1 species